UACGAAGGGGCUAGCGUUGCUCGGAAUGACUGGGCGUAAAGGGCGCGUAGGCGGAUGGCACAGUCAGAUGUGAAAUUCCCGGCUUAACCUGGGGCUGCAUUUGAUACGUGUGAUCUAGAGUGAGGAAGAGGGUCGUGGAAUUCCCAGUGUAGAGGUGAAAUUCGUAGAUAUUGGGAAGAACACCGGUGGCGAAGGCGGCGACCUGGUCCUUGACUGACGCUGAGGCGCGAAAGCGUGGGGAGCAAACAGG
rnacentral:rRNA from 1 species